AUGGAAAAGCGUCACGUCCACCGCCCUGGAGCCGCGGGACAAAGGGAAAAACAGCGGGGAAACCUCGGGGAAGCGGCGGGAUCGGGGAACGGCCGCGCCGGGCGGAGUCCCGAGCUCGCCGGUGUCCCGUCCCCAGGUGUCACCUCCCGCAGGUGUCACCUCCCGGCGGCGCUGGCCACACACCCUUGCAGAGCUCCGGAACGCCGUGCUGGCAGCGGCGAUGGGCUGCAGGAGGGACGGAGCCCGGCGCACAUCUGGCCGCUGUCGCUGCCCAGCCAGUCCCGGCCAUGGGGCGCUGAUGUCACCGCAGGGCCAGGAUGCGCGGGGACGCUGGGAAUUGCAGUUCCAGCCUUUGGGAUCCCUCCUGCUGCCCUCAUCCUGGGCUCGGGAUCCCUCCUGCUCCUGUAUUCCAGCCUUUGGGAUCCCUCCUGCUGCCCCGCUCCUGGGUUCGGGAUCCCUUCUGCUCCUGUGUUCCAGGGUUUGGGAUCCCUCCUGCUGCCCCGCUCCUGGGUUCGGGAUCCCUCCUGCUGCCCCACUCCUGGGCUCGGGAUCCCUUCUGCUCCUGUAUUCCAGCCUUUGGGAUCCCUCCUGCUGCCCCGCUCCUGGGUUCGGGAUCCCUCCUGCUGCCCCACUCCUGGGCUCGGGAUCCCUUCUGCUCCUGUAUUCCAGCCUUUGGGAUCCCUCCUGCUGCCCCGCUCCUGGGUUCGGGAUCCCUCCUGCUGCCCCACUCCUGGGCUCGGGAUCCCUUCUGCUCCUGUAUUCCAGCCUUUGGGAUCCCUCCUGCUGCCCCGCUCCUGGGUUCGGGAUCCCUCCUGCUGCCCCACUCCUGGGCUCGGGAUCCCUUCUGCUCCUGUAUUCCAGCCUUUGGGAUCCCUCCUGCUGCCCCGCUCCUGGGUUCGGGAUCCCUCCUGCUGCCCCACUCCUGGGCUCGGGAUCCCUUCUGCUCCUGUAUUCCAGCCUUUGGGAUCCCUCCUGCUGCCCCGCUCCUGGGUUCGGGAUCCCUCCUGCUGCCCCACUCCUGGGCUCGGGAUCCCUUCUGCUCCUGUAUUCCAGCCUUUGGGAUCCCUCCUGCUGCCCCGCUCCUGGGUUCGGGAUCCCUCCUGCUGCCCCACUCCUGGGCUCGGGAUCCCUUCUGCUCCUGUAUUCCAGCCUUUGGGAUCCCUCCUGCUGCCCCGCUCCUGGGUUCGGGAUCCCUCCUGCUGCCCCACUCCUGGGCUCGGGAUCCCUUCUGCUCCUGUAUUCCAGCCUUUGGGAUCCCUCCUGCUGCCCCGCUCCUGGGUUCGGGAUCCCUCCUGCUGCCCCACUCCUGGGCUCGGGAUCCCUUCUGCUCCUGUAUUCCAGCCUUUGGGAUCCCUUCUGCUGCCCUCAUCCUGGGUUCGGGAUCCCUCCUGCUCCUGUAUUCCAGCCUUUGGGAUCCCUCCUGCUGCCCCGCUCCUGGGUUUGGGAUCCCUUUCUGCUGUCCCGCUCCUGGGUUUGGGAUCCCUUCUGCUCCUGUGUUCCAGGGUUUGGGAUCCCUCCUGA
rnacentral:lncRNA from 1 species